AUACUAUACUGUUUCCAUUUUCAAGCCAAGUAUAAUUUGCUGAGCUCUCUCCAUCUCCCCUACUACUCAGAUAUUUGUCAGCACACUUUUGACUAAAAUGGCAAAUUCAGUCCAACUGCUUUCAUAUACAACCAACUGUUGCUGUAUAUUUAUAACUUUGAUCUUGAUAGCUUAUACUAUAAACUUUGUCUCUUUUAAAUCUCUAUUCUUUUGGCAUAUUGUCUGCAUGGUUCUUUCGUAUGCCCUGAUUAUGUCUCAAGCAAUUUUACUACUGAUCAAUCAGUAUGGCAUUUUUUGCUAUUUUGUCAACCUUAACAAAAUGCAAAAAGUCACCUUACAUUUCAUACUUCAGCUUCUGGCCGCAGCCCUGUAUAUUGCUGGAUCCCUCUGCAUCUAUAUAAAUAAAAAAAAUUAUAAUAAACCUCAUUUUACAACCUGGCAUGGCAAGUUUGGUCUGUCAACAAACGUGAUAAUGGUGUCGCAACUAUUUUUAGGAUUAUACAUGUAUUGCUUGUCAAAAGCCUAUUUCAAUCCAAUCUUUGAAAAACGAAAAAUAGGCAUUUCCUUGAGAUCACUUCAUCGGCUAAUCUCGGUUACAGGGUUUGUUUUAGGUAUUUGGAGUUUUAUGUUGGCUAUGCAAUCAAAUUUUGUCAAAGAAACUUUCCCUGAAACUAUAACAUUUAUGAUUUUAACGUUUUUGGCCUUCUUGGGAUCAGCUGUUUUUACGAUGGGCUCAAAGCUUCUUUACAAACCUAUCCAGCAACCGCUACUGGUUCCGUCAUAGAAGACAUUUAAUACUAGCCAUUUUUUGACCUAAAACCUUGUUUGGUUUCCCGUAUUCUGAGGAAAUAAACAACAUGGUUACUCUAGUAUCCAAUAACGGGAGCAAUACUUGUCUUAAUUCCCCAAAAUUUAAUAUCGAGACUUAUCAUCUGGCAAGCAAACGAUUUAUCAUAUAUUCCUAAGAUUUGUUAUUUGCGA